UAAAAAUUUAAAGGUGGUCCAUGCAACAGACACAAGGCCCCUUAUCUUCUUGCCGAAAGAAAUUUGUUUAUAUCUAAUGUGAAGGGAACUGGGUCAUAUAUUAAGUGCGGUGGAUUUUUUUUUUUUUUUUUUUUUUUUUUUUGGGUUUUCACGUGAAUAAAAAUCUCACUUCCUUCCAGUACUAAUGAUUUUGUCUUCACUAAAAUUGAUGUUGAUUUUGUCUUCAAUAAUUAAAAAUAAAAAAGAACUGUUGCAUUA
rnacentral:misc_RNA from 1 species